CCAAUAGCGUAUAUUAAAGUUGUUGCAGUUAAAAAGCUCGUAGUUGAAUUUCGGGGUUAGUAGGCUGGUCAUGCCUCUGGUAUGUACUGGUCUCACUGAUUCCUCCUUCCUGAUGAACCGUAAUGCCAUUAAUUUGGUGUUGCGGGGAAUCUGGACUGUUACUUUGAAAAAAUUAGAGUGUUUAAAGCAAGCUAACGCUUGAAUACAUUAGCAUGGAAUAAUGAAAUAGGACGUUCGAUCCUAUUUUGUUGGUUUCUAGGAUUGACGUAAUGAUUAAUAGGGAUAGUUGGGGGCAUUAGUAUUCAAUUGUCAGAGGUGAAAUUCUUGGAUUUAUUGAAGACUAACUACUGCGAAAGCAUUUGCCAAGGAUGUUUUCAUUAAUCAAGAACGAAAGUUAGGGGAUCGAAGACGAUCAGAUACCGUCGUAGUCUUAACCAUAAACUAUGCCGACUAGGGAUCGGAUGAUGUUAAUUUUUUAAUGACUCAUUCGGCGCCUUACG
rnacentral:rRNA from 1 species